rnacentral:rRNA from 1 species
ACGGGUGAGUAACACGUGGGAACGUACCCUUCGGUUCGGAAUAACGCUGGGAAACUAGCGCUAAUACCGGAUACGCCCUUUUGGGGAAAGGUUUACUGCCGAAGGAUCGGCCCGCGUCUGAUUAGCUAGUUGGUGGGGUAAUGGCCUACCAAGGCGACGAUCAGUAGCUGGUCUGAGAGGAUGAUCAGCCACACUGGGACUGAGACACGGCCCAGACUCCUACGGGAGGCAGCAGUGGGGAAUAUUGGACAAUGGGCGCAAGCCUGAUCCAGCCAUGCCGCGUGAGUGAUGAAGGCCUUAGGGUUGUAAAGCUCUUUUGUCCGGGACGAUAAUGACGGUACCGGAAGAAUAAGCCCCGGCUAACUUCGUGCCAGCAGCCGCGGUAAUACGAAGGGGGCUAGCGUUGCUCGGAAUCACUGGGCGUAAAGGGCGCGUAGGCGGCCAUUCAAGUCGGGGGUGAAAGCCUGUGGCUCAACCACAGAAUUGCCUUCGAUACUGUUUGGCUUGAGUAUGGCAGAGGUUAGUGGAACUGCGAGUGUAGAGGUGAAAUUCGUAGA